GCAUAUCAUAGCAGAGGAAAAGAAACCAACAGGGAUUGCCCUAGUAACGGCGAGUGAAGCGGCAACAGCUCAAAUUUGAAAUCUGGCCCCCAGGCCCGAGUUGUAAUUUGCAGAGGAUGCUUCGGGCGCGGUGCCUUCCAAGUCCCCUGGAACGGGGCGCCGGAGAGGGUGAGAGCCCCGUACGGUUGGCGGCCAAGCCUGUGUGAAGCUCCUUCGACGAGUCGAGUAGUUUGGGAAUGCUGCUCUAAGCGGGAGGUAGACCCCUUCUAAAGCUAAAUACCGGCCAGAGACCGAUAGCGCACAAGUAGAGUGAUCGAAAGAUGAAAAGCACUUUGAAAAGAGGGUUAAACAGCACGUGAAAUUGUUGAAAGGGAAGCGCUUGUGACCAGACGUGCGCCGGGGUGCUCAGCGGGCGUUCUCGCCCGUGCACUCGCCCCGGCGCAGGCCAGCGUCGGUUUGGGCGGGGGGAUAAAGGCGCCUGGAAUGUAGCUCCCCCGGGAGUGUUAUAGCCAGGCGUGCCAUGCCCCCGCCCGGACCGAGGUACGCGUUCUGCAAGGACGCUGGCGUAAUGGUCUCCAGCGACCCGUCUUGAAACACGGACCAAGGAGUCGAGGUUUUGCGCGAGUGUUUGGGUGGCAAACCCGCACGCGUAAUGAAAGUGAACGUAGGUGGGAGCUUCGGCGCACCACCGACCGAUCCUGAUGUUUUCGGAUGGAUUUGAGUAAGAGCGUAGGGCCUCGGACCCGAAAGAUGGUGAACUAUGCUUGGAUAGGGUGAAGCCAGAGGAAACUCUGGUGGAGGCUCGCAGCGGUUCUGACGUGCAAAUCGAUCGUCAAAUCUGAGCAUGGGGGGCGAAAGACUAWUCAAAACCAUCUAGUAGCUGGUUACCGCCGAAGU
rnacentral:rRNA from 1 species